rnacentral:rRNA from 1 species
GAUGAACGCUAGCGGCAGGCCUAAUACAUGCAAGUCGAACGAGAUUGUUGUAGCAAUAUGACAUGAAAGUGGCGCACGGGUGCGUAACACGUAUGCAAUCUACCUUUGAUUGGGGGAUAGCUUCGAGAAAUCGGAAUUAAUACCCCAUAACAUAAUUGAAUGGCAUCAUUUGAUUAUCAAACUUCCGGUGAUCAAAGAUGAGCAUGCGCAACAUUAGCUAGUUGGUAAGGUAAUGGCUUACCAAGGCUACGAUGUUUAGGGGGUCUGACAGAAGGAUCCUCCACACUGGUACUGAGACACGGACCAGACGCCUACGGGAGGCAGCAGUAGGGAAUAUUGGUCAAUGGAGGAAACUCUGAACCAGCCAUGCCGCGUGCAGGAUGACGGCCCUCUGGGUUGUAAACUGCUUUUAUACGGGAAGAAAAAGAGCUACGUGUAGCUUAUUGACAGUACCGUAAGAAUAAGGAUCGGCUAACUCCGUGCCAGCAGCCGCCGUAA